GAACAGAAGACAGGUAGAGGAGCGGAGGAGAAGAGGAACAGAAGACAGGUAGAGGAGAGGAGGAUGGGAGGAGGAACAGAAGACGGGUAGAGGAGAGGAGGAUGGGAGGAGGAAGGGUCCAUCAAUGCUUGUGUCUGAACAUCGCCUCCACUGCAAAACACAAACAUGAGGUCAGACGUUAAUAAACACUUUAUAACCGAACAAUAACAGCAAUAUAUGUUUAUAAAUCCUUUAUAAAUAGUAAAACAUGGUCCUCUCUUACUGGAGUCCUCGGUAUGCUUAUAAACACACAUAGAUGUUAAUACCCUUAACCCUUAAUAAGAGGUUGUAAUCUCUUACUGGAGUACUCCUGAGGGGACAUCUGGAUGCUGAUGACAUCAUUGAAGUGUUUCAGCCAAUCCUGUUGCUCAACUUCCGUCUCGCAGGUAAACAGGAAGCUGCGCUCGGGUGUUACUAUGGUGAUGCCGUGUUGCCAGGCGCCAUUGCAGUGGGUUCCAGCUGGGAGGCCGGGGCUAGCUCUGUAACCAUGGUCCUGGUGCCCUAGGAAUGCCUCACCCUUGGCAAAGGCAUCCUGGCAAGGCCUCGCCACACAGUGAUUCAGCUGUCUAUCAAACAGAGUCGAUGGAGACAUUUUGAAAUGGAGAAAUAGAGCAACCGACAGGAACGUGGUCUCCAGGAACGUGGUCUCCAGGAACGUGGGCUCCAGGAACGUGGUCUCCAGGAACGUGGGCUCCAGGAACGUGGUCUCUAGGAACGUGGUCUCCAGGAACGUGGGCUCCAGGAACGUGGUCUCCAGGAACGUGGUCUCCAGGAACGUGGGCUCCAGGAACGUGGGCUCCAGGAACAUGGUCUCCAGGAACGUGGUCUCCAGGAACGUGGUCUCCAGGAACGUGGGCUCCAGGAACGUGGUCUCCAGGAACGUGGUCUCCAGGAACGUGGGCUCCAGGAACGUGGUCUCCAGGAACGUGGUCUCUACACUGGAUGACAUACUUCCAACAUCUCAAACUACUGAAUGACUUUUUUUCUGUGUCGAAAGACUCACUUCGAUGUAUUGACAAUGGUGCUGGCUCCACCAAGCCCUCACGCAU